UACGUAGGUGGCAAGCGUUGUCCGGAUUUACUGGGCGUAAAGAGCGCGCAGGCGGUUGUUUAAGUCGAAUGUGAAAGCCCCCGGCUCAACUGGGGAGGGUCAUUCGAUACUGAUCGACUUGAAGGCAGGAGAGGGAAGUGGAAUUCCGGGUGUAGUGGUGAAAUGCGUAGAUAUCGGGAGGAACACCAGUGGCGAAGGCGGUUGCCUGGAGCUUUGCUGACGCUGAUGCGCGAAAGCGUGGGGAGCGAUCCGG
rnacentral:rRNA from 1 species